CCUACGGGUGGCAGCAGUGAGGAAUAUUGGUCAAUGGGCGUAAGCCUGAACCAGCCAAAUCGCGUGAGGGAUGAAGGUACUAUGUAUCGUAAACCUCUUUUAUAAGGGAAUAAAGAGUGGGACGUGUCCUCUUUUGUAUGUACCUUAUGAAUAAGGAUCGGCUAACUCCGUGCCAGCAGCCGCGGUAAUACGGAGGAUACGAGCGUUAUCCGGAUUUAUUGGGUUUAAAGGGUGCGUAGGCGGCCUUUUAAGUCAGCGGUGAAAGUCGGGGGCUCAACCAGAGACUCGCCGUUGAAACUGGGAGUCUGGAGUAUGUGAGAGGCAGGCGGAAUGCGUGGUGUAGCGGUGAAAUGCUUAGAUAUCGCGCAGAACCCCGAUUGCGAAGGCAGCAUGC
rnacentral:rRNA from 1 species